GCUGGGCGUGGGUGCGCACGCCUGUAAUCCCAGCUACUCAGGAGGCUGAGGCAGGAGAUUUGCUUGAACACUGGAGGCGGAGGUUGCAGUGAGCUGAGAUCACGCCACUGCAGUCCAGCCUGGGUGACAGAGCAAGACUCUGUCUCAA
ensembl:misc_RNA Metazoa_SRP Metazoan signal recognition particle RNA